rnacentral:rRNA from 1 species
CAGCCGCCGCGGGAAUACGGAGGAUCCAAGCGUUAUCCGGAAUCAUUGGGUUUAAAGGGUCCGUAGGCGGUCUUGUAAGUCAGUGGUGAAAGCCCAUCGCUCAACGGUGGAACGGCCAUUGAUACUGCAGGACUUGAAUUAUUGGGAAGUAACUAGAAUAUGUAGUGUAGCGGUGAAAUGCUUAGAGAUUACAUGGAAUACCAAUUGCGAAGGCAGGUUACUACCAAUUGAUUGACGCUGAUGGACGAAAGCGUGGGUAGCGAACAGGAUUAGAUACCCCGGUAGUCCCUGUCUCUUAUAC